rnacentral:pre_miRNA from 1 species
GUUUCUGGAUGGUGUUGAGUGCCAAGGACAGGCAUGUUACAUGUGUGUGGAUGGUGUUCAGCACUAGAGACCGAUGUGUUUGUGA